CGUUGCCUGCCGUGUUAGUCAGCUUCUCCUUGUUUCGAACCUUGAUUUUUUUAAGGGAGUUCUAUAUUGAAACACUGCCAACAAGCCAGCCUGUUCUGGACGUUGAAAGUGAUUCUGCGAACACCCACCUACGAGAGUAGGUUCAUGAAACAACUGAAGCAACGGCAUACGCGGGUUACGA
rfam:Bacillus okhensis strain Kh10-101 contig01, whole genome shotgun sequence.